GAUGAACGCUGGCGGCGUGCCUAAUACAUGCAAGUCGAGCGAACAGACGAGGAGCUUGCUCCUCUGACGUUAGCGGCGGACGGGUGAGUAACACGUGGAUAACCUACCUAUAAGACUGGGAUAUCUUCGGGAAACCGGAGCUAAUACCGGAUAAUAUAUUGAACCGCAUGGUUCAAUAGUGAAAGACGGUUUUGCUGUCACUUAUAGAUGGAUCCGCGCCGCAUUAGCUAGUUGGUAAGGUAACGGCUUACCAAGGCAACGAUGCGUAGCCGACCUGAGAGGGUGAUCGGCCACACUGGAACUGAGACACGGUCCAGACUCCUACGGGAGGCAGCAGUAGGGAAUCUUCCGCAAUGGGCGAAAGCCUGACGGAGCAACGCCGCGUGAGCGAUGAAGGUCUUCGGAUCGUAAAACUCUGUUAUUAGGGAAGAACAAAUGUGUAAGUAACUAUGCACGUCUUGACGGUACCUAAUCAGAAAGCCACGGCUAACUACGUG
rnacentral:rRNA from 1 species